rnacentral:rRNA from 1 species
AAAACGGCACGCGAGCUGGGUUCAGUACGUCGUGAGACAGUACGGUCCCUAUCUGGUACGGGCGUAGGAAAUUUGAGAGGAGCUGUCCCUAGUACGAGAGGACCGGGAUGGACAAAUCUCUGGUGUACCAAUUGUUCCGCCAGGAGCAGCGUUGGGUAGCCACGUUUGGAAAGGAUAACCACUGAAAGCAUCUAAGUGGGAAGCCAACCUCAAGAUAAGAUUUCCCUGUCUGAAU